UGGCAACAAUGAUGACAGGUUGUGGUCUGUAUGUAAUAGAUCAUAUUACUACAUGGAGACACCAGUCCCUCUAAGCUGAUGUUGCCA
ensembl:snoRNA SNORD127 small nucleolar RNA, C/D box 127